rnacentral:lncRNA from 1 species
CUUUCCCCUCCUUCCCUCCCCCCUCCCCCAGGCGGCAGACCCAGCUGGGGCAGGGCUGGCAGGAGCCCCUAAGCCAGAACUGUGAGGCCUGAGACUUACCAAGGCCUGUGUGUCUGUGUGUCUGUGUUUGGGCGGAUCUGGAUGGACAGACAGCUGAAGGGUCUCAGGGACCCCCUCAAGGUCAGGUUGCCAGAUAAAAUACGGGACUCCCAGUUAAACUGGAAUUUCAGAGAAAUAAUAAUGUUUUGCUAUGUCUCAAAUAUUGCAGGGGAUAACUUACCCUCAAAAGUCUUUGUUAUUCACCUGAAAUUCCAGUGGAACUGGGUGUUUUGCAUUUUGAUUGGCUACAUCUAACAACCCUCCUGGGGCAAUGCGGGCAGCAGUGGGGAAGGGGAGAAGAGCAGAUUUUGCUAAGCCCGCACACAGCACUCUCAGGGGAGCAAGGGGGGUCAAAGCCUUCACGGUUCUUCCCCAGGCAUCGGAAUCCAUGUCCCUAAUGGCAGGAAUUGUGGGGAUCACAGGGUGGGGUGAGGCUGCUCUGCUCAACUUCCACGAAAGCAAUUAUCUGAUUAUCCCAUAAUUCAUAUGGGGGAGCAGCAGUUGGCAGACAGGAGAAGGGAACGGGCUGUGAUGUGCUCCAUUUCCUCCCCACAGCCACCUCCGCUGUGUGGCUCCUCCCUCCCUUCGAGAAGCCAGCUGGGGUAGCCGGGCAGGGCGGGGGGCCUGGCUGAGCAGCCCAGAGGGAGGCAAACGCCCCUCCUGCGCCACCCGCCUCACCUGCUUUCCCAGGCUUACCCCAUCCGCCACUCACGUGGCACCCUCCCUCUUCAAAUCCUUCACCUCACGGCUGCGCUGGCGCUGAACUCUCUAGGUCGGCCUAGGAGAAGUCAGUGGAAAGUUACUUGCACAUAAACGGACGGAUGAUGAAACUCCAGGAAACCACAGCUCCUCCCCUGCCAGGGCACCAGGCCAGAGGCCAACCUGCUAGGCUUGGGACCCACUUCUGGCCCCACUACAUGCCCAGAGACCUUGGACGAGUCACUUACCACGUGCCCCGUUUCUUCAUUUGUAGAUGGGAUGCCAGCUGCCCUGCCGCACCCUUCCGGGGCUGCCAGGAGGCAAGAAUGAGCUGGCAGAUGCAAAAUACUGCUUCCUCUGCAACCAUGUCUGACAAGCCCGAUAUGGCUGAGAUUGAGAAAUUCGAUAAGUCGANNNNNNNNNNNNNNNNNNNNNNNNNNNNNNNNNNNNNNNNNNGGGCGAGGGAGGGCGGGGGAGGAGCUGACAAUUUUUAUGAUGAAUGUGGCCUGGAAAGGUUAAUUAAAAGUUGUUUUUGCAGCUAACAAACAGGGCUUUAAUAAUUCAACGAUGAUGGGAUGUUUGGUAUACAUAUUAAUAUGCAAUAUUAUACCAUCUUUUCUGUUAAAAUGUUUUUUAGUGUUCAUAUUUUCACGAUGGGCCGACUUGAUACUUAGUGGAUUUCUAUGAUAUGGGAAGAUACCGUAAACGAAAAGUACGAUAAUCUUACACGAGGCUGUACUGAGUCUGCCUAAUGAGCUCCCUCCAUCUUUUUUCUUUUCUCUUUCCUGUCACAGCGAUUGAACAGGAGAAGCAAGCAGGCGAAUCGUAAUGAGGCGUGCGCCGCCAAUAUGCACUGUACAUUCCACAAGCAUUGCCUUCUUAUUUUACUUCUUUUAGCUGUUUAACUUCGUAAGAUGCAAAGAGGUUGGAUCAAGUUUAAAUGACUGUGCUGCCCCUUUUCACAUCAAAGAAUGGAGAACUACUGACAACGAAGGCGCCUGCCUCUCCCAUCUGUCUGUCUGGCUGGCAGGGAAGGAAAAGAACUUGCAUGUUGGUGAAGGAAGAAGCUGGGUGGGACGACAGUGAAAUCUAGAGUAAAAACCAAGCUGGUCCAAGGUGUCCUGCAGGCUGUAAAAUGCAGUUUAAUCAGAGUGCCAUUUUUUUGUUCAAAUGAUUUUAAUUAUUGGAAUGCACAAUUUUUUUAAUAUGCAAUAAAAAGUUUUAAAACGUCGCUGGUGUGACUGUU